GUCCCGGCCGUAAACGAUGUGCACUAGGGAGGGGGAGCGCCUAAGCUGUCCCUCCCCAAGCGAAAGCGUUAAGUGCACCGCCUGGGGAGUAUGCUCGCAAGGGUAAAACUCAAAGGAAUUGACGGGGGCUCACACAAGCGGUGGAGCAUGUGGUUUAAUUCGAGGCAACGCGAAGAACCUUACCAAGGUUAGACAUCCACGUUAACCUCUGCGAAAGCAGAGGGUGUUUAUUCAGACGUGGUGCAGGUGUUGCAUUGCUGUCGU
rnacentral:rRNA from 1 species